rnacentral:tRNA from 1 species
UCCCUGGUGGCUCAGUGGUAAAGAAUCUGCCUGCCAAUGCAGGAGACCCAGGUUCCAUACCUGGUUGAGGAA